GCGGCAGGUUUUCCCAUGGAGCCGGUCCAUUUGCUCCCAUUUCCCCCCAUGGUUUGCCCUGAGGGCGGUCCCUGUUGUCCCAAGUUCGCCGAACGUCCAUCUCCAGGUCAGCCUGCUCCCUAGAGGAGGCCACCGUGAGGUCAGGGGGCAAGAGAGGUGGCUGCUGCGGGGAAGCCGGAUGCCCGUCUCCAGGUGACAUUUUAGGUUAUUGGGUCCCAGAUUGCUGGCACACUCAUCCCUGUUCUCAAAUAUCUUUUAAACUUGGGUGAAGUGAUAAGUAGGGGAAGAUGAUUUACUGAAAGCAAUGCAGAGUCUCCCGAGAACAGAUUCAGACUGAACAGAUUUGUGUCAGAAUUUGGGAGACCGCUGGUGCCCAAGAUGUUCUCUGGCAGGUCAAUGACGAAUCUAGGUCCCUCUUUCACUGCUACGUCAAUGAAGUGGGCCACUUCAACAAGGCCAAACCUGGUAUCCCAACCAUAGCCCUUGACAGUGAUGUUCGGCUCCAGGAAGCCAUCAGAUGCAGCAGGUGGCCAGAGGAGGAGCCGAACGUGCUCAUGAAAUGUGACAUCCACAACUUCAUCAACACGGACCAGAACUCUUCCUUUGGGGAAGAUGAUCUCCUGAAUUUCGAACCACCGAUUGUUCUAGAAAAUAAGCCAGUUGCCCAGACCCCACACAAAGACUUGAAUUGAGAAACGUGCUUUGUCAGGUGUCUUUUUGAAGAUAUGAAUUCUGUCUUUGUAUGGCAGGAAUUCCCCUUUCACAAAAUUGUAUGUGUUUGUGUCUGAGAGAGAGAAAUGGAGACAGACAGAAAGACGAAGAAGCAGAAGAGAGCCCCCUCAGAAGAGAGCUAGUUAAGCAUCCCAGACUGACGAAGACAGUGGAGAAUGCCUCUGAGUUUGGCACUGAUUGCCUGGAGAAUGCUGAAACCCAGGGAAGUGGGCAGCACAGACGUUUACUCAUUUAAUCCUGCCAACACAGUAGGAGAUAGAGUCUACAUAUUCCUCGCUACUUAAAAGAAUAACUUCAUAAUCCUGCAUGUUGCUGGUGGCUCCCAUGUUGGACAGCACGGGCCUAGAGAUUUUAAAUUACUUGCCCAGACUCGCCCAGGAAGCUCGUGGUGGGAUCCGAGCUAUAGUCUGGGACUUUUCUUCUUAUCCAACAAGUCCCUCAUGGAAGUUUAGAAGCUUCUUCUUUGGU